UUUGAUUCUGGCUCAGAUUGAACGCUGGCGGGAUGCUUUACACAUGCAAGUCGAACGCUUGGCACGGACUUCGGUCUGGUGGCGGUGGUGAACGGGCGAUGACUAUAUCGAGACGGUGCUGUGUGAGGGAUAACUACGCGAAAGCGUAGCUAAUACCGCAUACGCCCAUCAGGGGAAAGCGGGGGACCUUCGGGCCUCGCACUAUUAGAAACGGCCGAUAUCGGAUUAGCUAGUUGGUGGGGUAACGGCUCACCAGGCAGGCGUCCGUAAACUGGUUUGAGAGGACGACCAGCCACACUGGGACUGAGACGACGAACCCUACGGAGGCAACAGUGGGGAAUUUUGGACAAUGGAAACCUGAUCCAGCCAUCCCGCGUGUGCGAUGAAGGCCUUCGGGUUGUAAAAGCACUUUUGGCAGGAAAAACAGCCUGGAUAAUACCCCGUGCAGCGGCCAGUACCUGCAGAAUAAGCACCGGCUAACUACGUGCCAGCAGCCGCGGUAAUACGUAGGGUGCAAGCGUUAAUCGGAAUUACUGGGCGUAAAGCGUGCGCGGGCGGUUCCGGAAGAAAGAUGUGAAAUCCCAGAGCUUAACUUUGGAACUGCAUUUUUAACUACCGAGCUAGAGUGUGUCAGAGGGAGGUGGAAUUCCGCGUGUAGCAGUGAAAUGCGUAGAUAUACCGGAGGAACACCGAUGGCAGAAGGCGGCCUCACCGGAGUAACACUGACGCUCCUUUUGCGGCGUGGGGAGCAAACAGGAUUAGAUACCCUGGUAGUCCACGCCCUAGCAUUAUACUUCGCUGUUGGGGCCUUCGGGCCUUGGUAGCGCAGCUAACGCGUGAAGUUGACCGCCUGGGGGAGAGUACGGUCGCAAGAUUAAAACUCAAAGGAAUUGACGGGGACCCGCACAAGCGGUGGAUGAUGUGGAUUAAUUCGAUGCAACGCGAAAAACCUUACCUACCCUUGACAUGUCUGGAAUCCCGAAGAGAUUUGGGAGUGCUCGCAAGAGAACCGGAACACAGGUGCUGCAUGGCUGUCGUCAGCUCGUGUCGUGAGAUGUUGGGUUACAGAAUCCCGCAACGAAGCGCAACCCGCUUGUCAUUAGAUUUGCUACGAAGGGCACUCUAAUGAGACUGCCGGUGACAAACCGGAGGAAGGUGGGGAUGACGUCAAGUCCUCAUGGCCCUUAUGGGUAGGGCUUCACACGUCAUACAAUGGUCGGGACAGAGGGUCGCCAACCCGCGAAGGUAAUCCCGACCCGAUCGUAGUCAGGAUGUAGUCUGCAACUCGACUGCGUGAAGUCGAAUCGCUAGUAAUCGCCCGGAUCAGCAUGUCGCGGUGAAUAGAUUCCCGGGUCUUGUACACACCGCCCGUCACACCAUGGGAGUGGGUUUGCAGAAAUAGUUAUGGCCUAACCGUAAGAGGGCGAUUACCACGGUAAGUUCGCGAAGCUGAGGUGAAGUCGUAACAAGGUAG
rnacentral:rRNA from 1 species